CUACGGGUGGCUGCAGUUAGGAAUAAUUUACAAUGCACGAAAGUGUGAUAAUUCGAAUCAAAGUGCGUUCCAAUUUGGAAUGCUUUUGGAAAAUCUAAAAAGUUUUCCGAAUAAGGACUGGGUAAGACUGGUGCCAGCCGCCGCGGUAAUACCAGCGGUCCAAGUCGCAGCCAUUUUUAUUGGGUCUAAAACAUCCGUAGCUUGCUUAGUAAGUUUCUUGUGAAAUCCUAUGUCUUAAAUAUGGGGCGUGCAAGAAGUACUGCUAAGCUAGAGACUGGGAGACGGAAGAAGUACGUCUAAAGUAGCGGUAAAAUGUGUUAAUCUUAGGCGGACUACCAACAGCGAAGGCAUCUUCCGAGAACAGUUCUGACAGUAAGGGAUGAAGGCUAGGGGCGCAAAACGGAUUAAAUACCCCAGUAGUC
rnacentral:rRNA from 1 species